rnacentral:lncRNA from 1 species
CAGCCAUUGCUCAUAUCAAAUAUCGAUUGUCGAUUUGAUUUUUCGCUUGCGAAUUUCCAAAGUAUUUGGUUGUAUUAGCAAUAUUAUGUGUGUUUAAGUGAUCACUAAUAUCCUAUAUAUUGCGCGAAUUACCCAGAGACCAACAUGGGAACAAGGCCUAUAUUUCGCUCAAGAAAAAUGUUGUAUUGAUAGAUCUAUGGAGGAAAUAACAAAGAUGAGUCCAGAAUUUAGCCAAAAUGCAUAAUUUUCCAAAAAUACUGAAAAACCAAAAAUAUGACAAGAAUCUUUGAAAAUAUAACACAAUGCCUUUUGUAAUUAUGUUGUUUUGUGAUGAUAGUAAAAUUUGGUUGAUAUAAAACUGAAACAUAACUAUUCCUGCUCUAUGAAUGACUCUGUGAUAACGUUACCCAGGAUUUAACUAAUUCAGCAUAAUCAGGUUUCGCUAGACAAGAGAAAUAUAUGACCAUGAAAGUGUAUAGAAGAUAGGCCUGAAAAUAAUAAUAUUCACUGUUAAAAUAAAAUAAAAGUGAUUCAAGUUAUAAAAGAACUAACCAGUGUAGAAAAUUCACUUUCAAAAAGAAAACAUAAAAAUGGUUGUACAGUUAAAGUGGAAUGAACUGAUAUUUUUAUAGAAACAGAACAAAACUACUAAAGGGAAACGAGGUGAAGAGCUGUAUGACAGAUGAAUCCGUCACUUGUCUUGUGGAAAACAUGCUUUUCUUAUGGUUAAGAAGUGGUAUAUCAUCUUCAUGUUCUUUCAUAAUUGAAGCACCAUCAUUGUGUAUCAUGUAGAAAAACUGCCGACAUUCAUAGGAAAUGUCAGUCACAAAAUCUGAAAUAUAGGGUAAAGGAGCCUCACUGCAACUUCUGAUAAGACUAUCAGAGAGGAUAAUAUACAAUCAGAGAGGGUAAAACAUAAAGAACGGACUAUCUGUGAUUUCAAGAUAGUGAAAAUUCACACAAGAAUAUCUAUAUACUUAUUUACCUUAUGAGUCUAUACCCAACAGAAAAAUAAAAGUGCUAGUAGAUAGUGGGAUAAAUUUAAAGGAUAAUAUAAUAUUAACUCAAAAAUUAGGUGAACUAUGUUCUAAAACAAAUUGCAGCACCAUCAGGGUUAACAUAAACAUAUGUCAUCAAACAAAUAUACACUCUUCAGUUUUUAGAGCAACAUGACCAAGAAGCAAUUGUAGGAUAGUAUUGAAAAGGAAUAUGCACUCCUAAGGAAAAUGACAUGGGGAUGGACACAGGA